GGUGGAAGCAAAACUGCUAAGAAUGCCUGUGGUCAACUGACCGACAACAAAUAUUUAUUUACUGUGUCACCAAGGCCUAAUAGGGGUAUAACACAUUUUAAUAGAUUCUAGUACAUCAUGGCAGUCAUCUUAAAAUAUAAAAUUAGCAUGGUCACAGUCAAAAUAUAAAGAAAUUAAAUAAAAACAUCCUGAAUGUCCGGUAUUCGUAGCUGUGCGUAAUUUGAAUCCUAACGGUAAUUUUAUAUUUAAGUUUCAUUCAGUCGUGUUGCCAGCCCCUGCCCCUGGGCAAAACAAACCCAACCGAUGCGUCAAACUUCGGCUGUCCCCAAAUGACAAUCCAGCCUGCUCUCACUAUGGCGAGCUCAAUGACAGCUGCUUCAACCCAUACUGAGAGGCUAUCAUCGUUUCCUCCUGCGUACUGAGCAAGCUUGUUUUUUUCCCCUCGCUGAGGCCAGAUGAUUUUGUUUGUAUGGUGAGUAAAUCUAUCGCCGAUGAUUGCUCUAAUGAGAUGAUCAAGCAACAGCCGCUCACAUGAUGAAAUCAUGAUGAGGUCGGAUUUUGGAGUGAGUAAAAAUUUCUUCCCCACAUCGAGCCGCCAUUGUGUUGUGGUUUUAGGAGAACAUUGGAUCAUCUACGAAUUGUUUACAUUUGUAAAACGUGCAAUAAUUGACCGCGGUCUACAUUUCUCGAUUCUUUUGUUGAAAGCGCAUAUCAAAUAUCCCAAAUCAGUUAAAAUAUAGUGAAAUGUUGUAUCGGACACACGAUGCUUUGAAGAAAACGUGAGGGCAAACAUGGGAAGAUGAUGAACAUCUUACCUUACUAAUAGUUGAUUUACAGCCUCUAGAAGGUGAUUCUUUCUCCGUCACACGCAUCAACAAAACAUGAAGCAGCGUUUAACGAUGAAGAAGAUACCCAGUUGUGCGAUAACCAUUAACGUUGAAAAUCAAGAGGAAUACAUGGAUUGAAAAUACUUAAAGAGAAUACGCACCGAGUCGAAUUUAAAACGGAAAAUAAUGGUCCACAAAAGGCGAAAAUAAUGGCAAAGGAAACGAGUGCGGCUGGGACGCAAUACCAUCCAAUAUUUCAUGAAAGGCCAUGUUUUGGAUUGCCAUGAUUGUUAGCAAUGGCGGAUUAAGACGAAUGGAGGCCCUAAGCGGUCACACAAAAGUAGAGGCUUGGUUGAAGCGUCUAGCAGGGGAUUGUAUCAAAUAUCCCAACCAGAGAAGGAUUGAGUAGCAAUUAUGCUUGUGAGCGGAUGGUAGGUGCCAUUUUUGGGGCCCCUGGCCGACCCAGAUGUUCGACGCUUAAACAACUAAAUACACAUUAAAACUGAAGGAAAUACACAUCUAAUCAAUUACUUUAAAAAAUAAUAUAAUUGUACUGAUUCGUGAUGUAUUUUGUAGUUUUGACCUGCAUGCACAAUUCUAAAAUAUUCCUAUGAAUCACAGAAAGGCCUAAAGCCUAAAAGCCUGCCUUAUAAGCUUGAAAAUUACACGUGGCAAUGAACCCUAAAAAAGCUGAAUAAAAUCGCGUGCUUUUAA